CGGUAAUACAGAGGUGGCGAGCGUUGUUCGGAAUUACUGGGCUUAAAGGGCGAGUAGGCGGUGGAGCAAGUCUGAGGUGGAAUCCUACGGCUUAACCGUAGAACUGCCUUGGAAACUGUUUUACUUGAGUCAGUGAGGGGAGGGCGGAAUUCCUGGUGUAGCGGUGAAAUGCGUAGAUAUCAGGAGGAAGGCCUGUGGCGAAAGUGGCCCUCUGGCACUGUACUGACGCUGAGGCGCGAAAGCGUGGGGAGCAAACAGGAUUAGAUACCCUGGUAGUCCACGCCCUAAACGGUGGGCAUUAGGUGUAGGGCUCGUAAGGGUUCUGUGCCGAAGGGAAACCAUUAAAUGCCCCGCCUGGGGAGUACGGCCGCAAGGUUGAA
rnacentral:rRNA from 1 species